rnacentral:rRNA from 1 species
UACGAAGGGGGCUAGCGUUGCUCGGAAUCACUGGGCGUAAAGCGCACGUAGGCGGCUUACUAAGUCAGGGGUGAAAUCCUGGAGCUCAACUCCAGAACUGCCUUUGAUACUGGUGAGCUUGAGUCCGGAAGAGGUGAGUGGAACUGCGAGUGUAGAGGUGAAAUCGUAGAUAUUCGCAAGAACACCAGUGGCGAAGGCGGCUCACUGGUCCGGUACUGACGCUGAGGUGCGAAAGCGUGGGGAGCAAACAGGG